GGCUGGUCCAAAGGUAGUGAGUUAUCUCACUUGAUUGUUCACAUUCAGUUACAGAUUGAACUCCUUGUUCUAUUACUUUCUCCCCUCCUCACUACUGCACUUGACUAGUCUUAA
rnacentral:Y_RNA from 1 species